AUUAUUUGUUUUUGGGAAUAUAGAUGGGAGGAAAAAGAAGAAAAGAAAGAAGAGUGUUCACUUAGCUUUAGAUGUGCUUGAUCCAAUUAGAAAUGGUGAGGUAUUCUGAAGGAACUUAAUGAGCAGUUCAUUGAGAAACAAUGGAAUUCCGAAGGAACUCGAUGAGCAGUUCAUUGAGAAACAAUGGAGUCUGCCAGUCCAAAAGCAAUAAUGCUAAUGUACCAGCAAACCACAUGACAUUGUACACUGGAGUUCUCCGAGAUCGGAUACAAAGGGAAUAUUCUAUGUAUUAAAUAAGUAAUACUAUUUCGAAUUUUGUAUUGCAUGUGCUUGUCUUCCUAGGGCGAACUUGACUUUAUCUGGUGUACUUUUGAUUCA
rnacentral:lncRNA from 1 species